rnacentral:rRNA from 1 species
UACGUAGGUGGCAAGCGUUGUCCGGAAUUAUUGGGCGUAAAGCGCGCGCAGGCGGCCUCUUAAGUCUGAUGUGAAAGCCCCCGGCUCAACCGGGGAGGGCCAUUGGAAACUGGGAGGCUUGAGUAUAGGAGAGAAGAGUGGAAUUCCACGUGUAGCGUGAAAUGCGUAGAGAUGUGGAGGAACACCAGUGGCGAAGGCGACUCUUUGGCCUAUAACUGACGCUGAGGCGCGAAAGCGUGGGGAGCAAACAGGAUAGAU